AUAACGUUUCUGUAAAACACUGUUAAAAAUUAACUGUAAAUUUUACAGUAAAAUACUGGCAGCAGGGUUGCCAGCCAGUUAUUGUCAUUUUUACAGUAGCAUUACUGUAAUUUAAUUUACAGAAUUUUACUGUACUCUGAUUACAGUAAAUAACUAUUUUUUUUUUUUAAUUUGCUGUAUUUUAUUUUUUAAACUACUUGAAAGUAUGUAUUUGCUAUAUUUGUUUAUAUUAAUGCUUGGCAGCUUUUAAAUUUAAACUAUUAACUGCAUCUGCUUUAAACAUUUUUAACUGCAUAAAAUGUUGUAUAAUGCAUAACUUAUUUCACCUAUUAUUUCACAAAACAAUAAAUAAAUAGACUCUUCUUAGUUUUGAAAAACAAAAUUUAAUAUAUAACAUUUUUUAAAUUUGCAUGGAAAAAGACAAAGCAGUGUAUUUUCUAUUAUUUUGAAUUCAUAUUUUAUUUACAAAAUACUUUUUCUUGAAUGGACAUGAAAUUACAUAGUUUUAAAUUUCUUGAAACAUAUCAGCCACCAUCGCCCUUCACACCAAAAAGAAAUACACAACUGCAUGACUUAAAAUUUAUAGUUUACCCAAAAAUGAAAAUUCUUCAUUAAUUAUUCACCAUCAUGUCAUUUCUCACUUGUAAAGCAUUUGUUCAUUUUCAGAACACAAAUGAAUAUAUUUUGAAUGAAAUCUGAGAGCUCUCUGUCCCUCCAAAGGCAGCUAUGCAACUUGCACAUUUAAGGUCCAGAAAGCUAUAAAGACAUUAAAGUAAUUCAUGUGACUCCAGUGGUUUACCCUCAAUUUUGUGAAGCGAUGUGAGUGGUUUGUUUGCAACAUAACAUAAUUUACCUCUGUAUUUAUAAAAUAGUAUUAUAAUAAUACUUAAUCAGCCGCUGCCGCCACCUUUAAUUCUUUAAGCCAGUAUGGUCUGGCACAAGAGGAUAACACACCACCACAACUUCAAUCACAACAAAAUGUUCAUGAUGUGGUAAAAUGAUUAAUUACUCAUUAAUUACUCACCCUAAUGUUGUUAAAAACCCGUACGACUUUCAUUCAUCUUUGGAACACAAAUGAAGAUCACAAAUGAUUCAUCUUAGUCGUCAUCAGUGGUGUCAUGAAAAACCAUUCAGCUGUGAUCAGUGUGGCAAGAAGUUUAGAUCCUCAUCAUAUCUCAACAAACACCUGACAGUUCACACAGUCGAGAGGCUGUACUUGUGUCCGGUGUGUGGAAAGAGUUUUUCACGGCUGGCCAAUUGCAGAAAGCACCAGAAGAUCCAUUCUUCUGUGAAAACUCAUGCUUGUGUGGAGUGUAGCAAUACCUUCAUCACAAGUGAACAUCUCAAAAAGCGCCUGAAAAGUCACUCUGAAGAAAGACCGUUCACAUGUAUAUGGAUUCAAAGAGAAAGUCCACCAAACACAUGAGGAUUCACACUGGAGAGAAGCCGCACACAUGCCAUCAGUGUGGGAAGAGCUUCAGGUCUCUGUUAUGCAUCAUCACUCUGGAGAAAAAACAUAUAAUUGUGAUCAGUGUGGUAAGAAAUUUACAUUGUCAUCAAUUCUUAAAAGCCACCUGACGGUGCAUACGGACGAGAGGCUCCAUAAGUGCCCUUUGUGUGAAAAGAGUUUUUCACGACCAGACUCUCUGAAACAGCACCAAAAACUACAUGAUGUUGUGCGGGAUCACGUGUGUUUCGAGCGUGGGAAGAGCUUUACAGCAGCGAGUCAUUUGAUGCAUGAGAAUGCAUGUUUUUAAUUUAUUGUUUUAAAAAGUUGUGUAGUUUAUUGAGAUCAAACCCCUCACACCUGAGAGAACUGAAUCUGUCUGAGAAUAUAAUAGGAGAUUCAGUGUCUCUUCUCUCUGCUGUACUGGAGGAUCCUCACUGUAAACUGGAGAGACUUUGGUACAAUCAUAUUUGACUCUCAGACAUGAAACACAAUGUAAAAUAUAUUUGAAGUGUUCAGCCUUUUUCUGCUGCUGUGAGAUUAUUUUUUGUACCUGCUAAACUGAUCUGAUCUGAACUGAGAGAGUGAAGAGUGUGUCAUUGUUCUCUACAGGUUGAGAGAUUGUGAUAUUACAGAUGAAGAUUGUGCUGCUCUGGCUUCAGCUCUAAGAUCAAACCCCUCACACCUGAGAGAACUGAAUCUAUCUGGGAAUAAUCUAGAACAAUCAGGAGUGGAGUUGCUCUCUGAUCUAAGGAAUGAUCCACAUUAUAAACUGGAGGACCUAAGAUAUUGGUAGGACUCUCAGUAAUUAGACGUCAGUUCAGUUUCCUCAGGAUCAGCUGAUGGUGAAUAAGGAGCUACAGAGACUGAAGACACAGAGACACACAGCGAUCACACUGACAUGUGUGUGUGACUUCACAGCAGUUUCUUGUUUUUUUUUUUUUGGUGUCUGUUUUUGGUCUGUUCUUUUGAACUAUGUAUGUCAUCAGAUUUACAUUAUUACAGGAUCUGAACUUGCUGUAUAUUUUUAAGACUCAAUUUUAUAGAUGAAAAUAAGUGCCUAAAAUCACCGUUGGCAAUUUGGAGUAGUUUUGGAUUCGCUAGAUAAUGCACUGCUUGAUCACAAUGUAGAUGGUGUAAGACUGUAUACACGGUAAGAGUGUGACAAAAGAGACAAAACUAGAACUAGAACAUUGUAAUCAACAAACCAUAUACACAGAGUAAUUAAGAGAUUUAUUAAGGUAGACCGUUUCGUUUAUUAUAAUGGGAAAAUGUGAUUCUUUUACUUUUUUUAAUUGUAAAACCUUUUUCUAAGUUUAAAAAGAGAUGUUUUAAAUGAGUCUACCAGCAGAGGGCGACAAUGCAAAUUACUUCACUGAACGUUUAUUUCUACCAGAAAGACUCAAGAGGGCAGGUGGACCUUUGCGUGGUAUUUAUUGGGUAAGGUAUUAACAGAUGGUAGUGAGCUACAAUGAUUCAUGUUUAGUUGUAUAGAAAAAUUAUUUGGCGUAGGCCCCGUCAUUAGUCCAAAUCCUAGGGAUGCAGGUUCGGCUGAUCCUGCCUGAAGAUGAAGGCAGGGGUGGAGCCUACCCCAAAAAGAAAUUAUAAUUGAUACCCACCAGUUUAGGCUCGAUUUACUAAAUCAUGCAAAUUAGUAUGUCGUGCGUACGAUUUAUAAAUUGAGGUAACGACUUAGUAAAGCGUUUUAUAAAGCGUGCACGAUUUAGCCUACUGUGUUUUUUUUUUUUUUUUGUUUUUUUCCUGAAUGUCAUGUGCGGGGCUCCGUAAUUAUUGUUGUUAUCGUUAUGUUAUUACUACUAGCUGUAUGACUCAGCAGUUUCACUAUUGCAGUUGUAUUUGGUGUGAUAGCUACCAUGUAAACUUACUGAAACUACUGUUGUUGUCACAUUUUAGAAUGCUAUUUGUAAUAUCUUUAUUUGUGUUUUCUUAAAGUACUUGAUUGUUCAUCAAUAAGCAUGGAUUAUGGUGUUUAACUUUAACGACGCCAUUUUUACCAGCACAAUUUUAUUGUAACUGUGUCAUUAAUUUAUAUUACUGUUUCACGAAAUGUAUAUUUUAUAAGAACAGUGACUUGCAAAGAUGUAUAUCUUAAUUCAACAAUGUUAUAUAAUAUUGUAACAUUGUAUUUCGACAUUUCUACAUUUGUAGUAAACCACACAGACACCCAUAUUUUUGUAUACUUCUGUCAACCAGAUUAAAGUUUUCUUUGGA